GGCACUUUUGUUGUUGUUGCUGUAGAUGCUAUGUGCUAUCCUCUUGAUUCUUUCAUUUGUUGUUUGGGGCUAGAAACCAAUGGGUUUCAUGAUAUUGUGACUCCUUUGAUGACCAGGCAUCCAAUGACUUGCAAUUGAUAACUUAAAGCUGAGAGCUGACACUUCAACAAGUGACUUGUACCAAUUUUAUUAGGCUUUGGCGAGUACAAUUAUGCCAAAGCCAAUGCCCUGCUCCUAGGAGUUAAGAUUGUGGCCUCUGGAUGAAUCUCUCCCAUCGUUAUCAAGGGGACUUGAAUAACAUGGUGUGUGGGUAGGGGUUGGUUUUUCUCUAGGUAAUGGACUGAAGAUAAGGUUUUGGGAGGAUAUAUGGGUCAGGGACCAAAAAUUGGGUAAGAGGUCUUUCCAAAGUUAGCUUGGUUGGAAGUGGAUGUGGAAGUGUUGGUUGUAAGUUGCUUUAAUAUACAAGGGGAGGAGGUAAUUUUGGCUCCGUUGUGUAGAGGGAAUUUAGAUUAUGAAUUCGAGGAAUUAUAAAGUUUGUUUAAGUUACUUUCUAAAGUGCGGCCAGUGUUAUCGGAAUCGAAUUGAUGGUGUGGUUAAAAGAGAAGACUGGGAAAUUUUCAAUGAAAUCCUUCUUCAGAAUGAUUAAUGUCAUUGGGGAUAAUGCUGGAAUCAGCCCGUUUGCUUAUGUUUGGUGCUAUGGUGUGCCCCCAAAGGGUGCAGCUCUAGCUUGGCUUGUGGGAUGCAACAAGGUGCUUACGGUCAACAAUUUACGCAAAAGGAAGAUGACUUUACCGAACAUGUGUUAUAUGCCUUCAGGACGAGGACACAGUAGACCGUUUAUGCAUACAUUGUGCAUUCGCAAAGAAGUUGUGGGAGUUCUUUGAUUUAUUUGGAGUAAGUUGGGUGUGGCCAAGAACCAUUGGUCAAUUCUAUUUGAUGUGGCAUGGAUGUGUGUCAAGUAAGUCGGGAUCUACGUUAUGGCACCAAAGUCUUCUUGUGAGGAUUUGGUCUUUAUGGCUUGAAAGAAAUAAUCGUUGCUUUAGGAAUAGGGAGGGCUGAGUCCUAGAGGUUUGUAACAGGGCAAAGAUGUAUGUGAAGGAAUGGGUAAUUGCAUCGAAGGCUACUGGCCAGUUUCCGGAGAAUUGGCUUGAGUUGUAAUUGCUUUUUCUGGUUCGUCAUAUAUAUUUAUAUUUCGGCUUCGGCCUUUGUUAAUAAAAUUCAUCCAAUGUUAUUAAAAAUAAA